CUACGGAGGGUGCGAGCGUUAAUCGGAAUUACUGGGCGUAAAGCGUACGUAGGCGGUUGGUUAAGUUAGAUGUGAAAGCCCCGGGCUUAACCUGGGAACUGCGUUUAAAACUGGCGAACUAGAGUUGAGUAGAGGGGAGUGGAAUUUCAGGUGUAGCGGUGAAAUGCGUAGAGAUCUGAAGGAACACCAGUGGCGAAGGCGACUCCCUGGACUCGAACUGACGCUGAGGUACGAAAGCGUGGGUAGCAAACGGGAUUAGAAACCCUAGUAGUCC
rnacentral:rRNA from 1 species